UAAGUAUAAAUAACACUGCAGGAUACUGUCUUUCUUUCUUGGAUUGGGGAAAACCAUUCCAUAUAUUGAAAAAGUCUCAAAGAAUUGGUACAGCAGCAUAUAGAAGGAUCUGAGAAACAAGCUAUUAUAUUUAACCUAUGGCAGUGAGGAGCACAGGAGCCUGGCUUCUAGAGAAACCAUACAGAGACAGAAAGCUGCAUGGAACACAAAACAGAAAUUACUAGUGAUUCUUGGGAUGAUGGUAGCCCAGAUUCGUUACUGUAUUCAUAACUGAGAGAGACCAAUAAACAUGCCAACAGCAGAAAAGUCAGAGAAUUCCUGGAAGCCUGGCACUGAAAUAAAGGAGCCAUCAACAAAUUGAUGGAACUGGAUUCAUUCUUCUCCAUUCAGGAUGGACAUGUGUUUAUCCCAAGCAUGUUUAAACUCUAUUACUGAUGAUUGACUCACUACUUCUGCUGGAAGUUGGUUCCACGUUUCUACUAUUCUUUCUGUAAAGUAAUACUUUCUAAUAUUACUUUUGAACUUUGCUCCUGUCAGUUUGAGGUUAUACCCCUGUGUUCUUUGUUUUUGCUUAAUACUGAAAAUACUGCAUUCUCAGUCAGGUCAUAAUAUGCACACUUACUAUAUAUGUCCCUUUGUACAUGUUUAAAUAAUUAGUAAUUAAAAUCAAAAAUACAAGGAAUAACAA